rnacentral:rRNA from 1 species
UACGUAGGGUGCGAGCGUUGUCCGGAAUUAUUGGGCGUAAAGGGCUCGUAGGCGGUUUGUCGCGUCGGGAGUGAAAACCUCGGGCUUAACUCGGGGCUUGCUUUCGAUACGGGCAGACUGGAGGUAUGCAGGGGAGAACGGAAUUCCUGGUGUAGCGGUGAAAUGCGCAGGUAUCAGGAGGAACACCGGUGGCGAAGGCGGUUCUCUGGGCAUGACCUGACGCUGAGGAGCGAAAGUGUGGGGAGCGAACAGG